UUUUGAAAUCCAUGUUAUUUGUGGUGUGAAUCCUUAUGUAAGCAAAGGCGCAAGGUCACAUGUCAACUUUUGGGCAACACCCAAGCGAUCAAAUAUUGCUGGCGCUACUCCUAGAUUGUUCUUUGCUGAAUUUAACAAUGAUGAUAAGGAAGAGGAAUCAUUAUGUUUCUCUGUUUCUUCUGCUUCUAUUGACUCUGUGCGCUGCUUUGACUGUGAGUGCCAUGGAAUAAAGAUUGUGCAUCCAUGUGGUGAAGUGUAUCAUGGGAGUGGCGACGAUUUCAACGUAAUGGCUCAUGGAAAACAUAGCAUAGCAUCAGCAAUGAGUUGCUCAUUAGCGCCUGCCAGUUUCAUGUCGACACGGUGUGCAUAUUAGAUGAGGACUGGAUCUAUUUUGAUUCGAAGCUAGAUGCCAAGAUUGCUGAGAGGAACCCGAUGGAUGACGGUGCCUUUAGGAUAUGGAGGUGGAAUGACAGAAUCUUCUGAAUCAAGCUGCUGGAUGAACCCUACAGAUGACUGUCAGAAUCUUCAGAAUGCACUGUUUGUGAAUCGGUAGCUCCAUAUUUCAGUGAUAGUGUGCCUUUGUUUGAGAGACUAAGGUUGAUGCAUGAUAUGUGGUUUUUGUUAGUAAGAGCAUGGAUCAGUAGGCAGCCGGCGCUCGAAACAUUAUCGGGAGUGCGUUGCCUCCACAACUAUCUAGUCAAUUUUAAGCAUUUUGUAUAGCACCACAACUUUGGUGCGAGAUACUUGCACCUGGAUGUUAUUUGUGGAUA